rnacentral:rRNA from 1 species
ACUCGAGUGGCGAACGGGUGAGUAACACGUGGGUGAUCUGCCCUGCACUUCGGGAUAAGCCUGGGAAACUGGGUCUAAUACCGGAUAGGAGCCAUUUUUAGUGUGAUGGUUGGAAAGUUUUUCGGUGUAGGAUGAGCUCGCGGCCUAUCAGCUUGUUGGUGGGGUAAUGGCCUACCAAGGCGGCGACGGGUAACCGGCCUGAGAGGGUGGACGGCCACAUUGGGACUGAGAUACGGCCCAG